AACGAACGCUGGCGGCAUGCCUAACACAUGCAAGUCGAACGCCCCGCGAGGGGAGUGGCGGACGGGUGAGUAACGCGUGGGAACCUGCCCCGUGGUGCGGGACAACGUCUGGAAACGGACGCUAAUACCGCAUGAGCCCUGAGGGGGAAAGAUUUAUCGCCAUGGGAGGGGCCCGCGUCGGAUUAGGUUGUUGGUGAGGUAACGGCUCACCAAGCCUGCGAUCCGUAGCUGGUCUGAGAGGAUGAUCAGCCACACUGGGACUGAGACACGGCCCAGACUCCUACGGGAGGCAGCAGUGGGGAAUAUUGGACAAUGGGGGCAACCCUGAUCCAGCAAUGCCGCGUGAGUGAUGAAGGCCUUCGGGUUGUAAAGCUCUUUCGCACGCGACGAUGAUGACGGUAGCGUGAGAAGAAGCCCCGGCUAACUUCGUGCCAGCCGCCGCCGUAAGAC
rnacentral:rRNA from 1 species